CAAAGGCUUGGUCCUGACUUUACUAUCAACUUUAGCCAAACUUACACAUGCAAGUAUCCGCACCCCCGUGAGAAUGCCCCACAGUUCCCUGCCCGGGAACAAGGAGCUGGUAUCAGGCACAUUUAACUAUAAGCCCACGACACCUUGCUUAGCCACACCCUCAAGGGAACUCAGCAGUGAUAAACAUUAAGCUAUAAGUGAAAACUUGACUUAGUCAAGGCUAAGAGGGCCGGUAAAACUCUG
rnacentral:rRNA from 1 species